GCCGGAUGUGGUGGUGCACAUCUGUAAUUCCAGCUACUGGGGAGGCUGAGGCAGGAGUAUUGCUUGAACCCAGGAGGUGGAGGUUGCAGUGAGCCGAGAUCGCACCACUGCACUCCAGCCUGGGAGACAAAGCGAGACUCUGUCUCAA
rnacentral:SRP_RNA from 1 species